UACGGGGGGGGGCAAGCGUUGUUCGGAAUUACUGGGCGUAAAGGGCUCGUAGGUGGCCAACUAAGUCAUACGUGAAAUCCCUCGGCUUAACCGGGGAACUGCGUCUGAUACUGGAUGGCUUGAGGUUGGGAGAGGGAUGCGGAAUUCCAGGUGUAGCGGUGAAAUGCGUAGAGUAUUGGGAAGAACACCGGUGGCGAAGGCGGCUCUCCUGGACCGAGACUGACGCUGAGGCGCGAAAGCGUGGGGAGCAAACAGG
rnacentral:rRNA from 1 species